UCUGAAUCUGCGAACGGCUCCGCAUACCAGUUGUAAACUAUAGCUAGUCAGCCUUGAGGCGGGAUCUUCGGGUUCCCUUCUUGGCUUUAUAUGGAUACCCAUGGUAAUUCUGAGGCUAAUACAAGAACGUAAAACCUGGCUAACCGCGCAAGUGGAAGGCUGGGGGUCGUGUGAUGAUCCUGCAACAUGACUUAAACCGGAAAGGACACAUGAUCAGACCACCAUUCAAAACGGCCUUGGGCUUGGCAAUCCUCCUUCGGGGGGUGCGACUCGCCCUCGAUCGGGUGGCUCUAGUUAUGUGCUUCUGACCUAUCAACUAGAUGGCAGCGCAAAAGACAUGCUAUGGU
rnacentral:rRNA from 1 species